GACGAACGCUGGCGGCGUGCUUAACACAUGCAAGUCGAACGAUGAAGCUGGAGCUUGCUCCGGUGGAUUAGUGGCGAACGGGUGAGUAACACGUGAGUAAUCUGCCCUUGACUCUGGGAUAACUGCGGGAAACUGUAGCUAAUACCGGAUACGACACCUUCGGGCAUCCGAUGGGUGUGGAAAGAAUGUCGGUCAAGGAUGAACUCGCGGCCUAUCAGCUAGUUGGUGAGGUAAUGGCUCACCAGGGGGACGACGGGUAGCCGGACUGAGAGGGUGACCGGCCACACUGGGACUGAGACACGGCCAAGACUCCUACGGGAGGCAGCAGUGGGGAAUAUUGCACAAUGGGCGGAAGCCUGAUGCAGCAACGCCGCGUGAGGGAUGAAGGCCUUCGGGUUGUAAACCUCUUUUAGUUGGGAAGAAGCGAAAGUGACGGUACCAACAGAAAAAGCACCGGCUAACUACGUGCCAGCCGCCGCCGUAA
rnacentral:rRNA from 1 species